rnacentral:rRNA from 1 species
AGAGUUUGAUCCUGGCUCAGGAUAAACGCUGGCGGCGUGCCUAACACAUGCAAGUCGAACGCUCUCUACUUCGGUAGAGGGAGUGGCGGACGGGUGAGUACCACGUGGGUUAUCUACCUCUCGGUGAGGAAUACCGGCGAGAAAUCGCCGACAAUACCGCAUAUCCUUCGCAAGAAGGAAAGUCGUAAGACGCCGGGGGAGGAGCCUGCGCCCGAUUAGCUGGUUGGUGGGGUAAAAGCUUACCAAGGCUUCGAUCGGUAGCUGGUCUGAGAGGAUGAUCAGCCACACUGGGAUUGAGAACGGCCCAGACUCCUACGGGGGGCAGCAGUGAGGAAUUUUCGUCAAUGGGGGCAACCCUGAACGAGCAACGCCGCGUGCAGGAUGACACUUUUCGGAGCGUAAACUGCUUUUCUUGGGGACGAGCACAGGACGGUACCCAAGGAAUCAGCCCCGGCUAACUACGUGCCAGCAGCCGCGGUAAUACGUAGGGGGCGAGCGUUGUCCGGAGUUACUGGGCGUAAAGCGCACGCAGGCGGUCCGGUACGUUCGGAGUGACAAUUCUCGGCUUAACUGAGAAGGGUCUUCGAAAACGGCCGGACUUGAGGGCUCACGAGGGACACGGAAUUCCGGGUGGAGUGGUGAAAUGCGUAGAUAUCCGGAGGAACACCAAAGGCGAAGGCAGUGUCCUGGGGAGUCCCUGACGCUCAGGUGCGAAAGCCAGGGGAGCAAACGGGAUUAGAUACCCCGGUAGUCCUGGCCGUAAACGAUGACCACGAGAUGUCCGGGGGAUCGACCCCCUGGGUGUCGCAGCUAACGCAGUCAGUGGUCCGCCUGGGGAGUACGGUCGCAAGAUUAAAACUCAAAGGAAUUGACGG